UAUCAAAUAGAGCGACCAUGUUCAAGUGCAACCGAUAAAACCCUAGAAAUCACCGAGCUCCCUCCAGAGUAAGCCUUAAGCGCCGCAACACUUCUUAUAUAUAACACCAAAUUUCCUUUCCGCUGCUUCCUAGUUUCUUCUACGAAUGCUUAUAUUACGUUGAUAUUCUCUUUGAUUUCAGUCCCCAUUUUAUGCGUUUCUAUCAAUUCCAUGAUUUCAAGCUCAAUCUGCACCCCUUGUAGAAGUCAUUAUUUUCAGAUUUUUGUUGGUGUUGUUGUUGUUGUUCUUAUUGGGGUCUUCUGUGAACUCUGUAUUUUUCUUUCAUUUGUUUAUUACAUUGAUAAUGGUGGGAGAUUGUUUUUGGUUUGUGAUUUUCUUCUAGCUCCCAAAUAUCCAUUGCUCUUUAUGUCUAAAAAAUCCAGUUUACUUGAAAAUUUGAUCUUAGCUGGUCUCCUAUGAGAUACCCUGAUUAGUUUUGUUUUGUUUUGUAUUUUUUAAUUUCAAUGUUGUGUGUAUAAUGUUUUCCCCUCAAUUUGGUGCUGGGCCACAUUAACUACAUUGUGUGCAUAUGUACUUUUUAAGGGGUUUCACUCAUCUAGUGGCUAAACCCAAGAGUUCUUAAGUUAUCAAGUUGGGUAACCAUUUGGUUCUUAGUUUUUAGUUUUUGAAAAUUUAGCUUAUAAACACUACUUCCACUUCAAAUUUUGAAAAUUGAAAAAGUAAUUAAAAACUUUUUUUGUUUUUGAAAUUUGGGUUCAGUAUACAACUUCAAAAUUUGAAAAAGUAAUUAAAAACUUUUUUUGUUUUUGAAAUUUGGGUUCAGUAUACAACUUCUAUGGUUAGAACCUAAGAUCCAUGAUGGUCACCUAUCUAGGACCCAUGGAUAUAAAAUUGAAAAACUUUUCAAUCUGUGGUUUGAUUCAGUUUUAUAUUUCUUAUUAAAAGACAUCUCUAAACUUUCCAACUUCCAAGUCCUUUCAACCAAGGUGCAUCUUUAGGAGACAUGUAAUGUUGUGUAUAGAAUUUACCUUCUUGGCUAUUUAUGCUAUUGGUAUGGUGUGCUUAUGGACGGUCUUGUGCUGAUUAAUUUACCGUCAUCAGCACACAACAUACACAUAAGCUACAUUCUUGCCAUCUUUGUCUUUCAAGUUUUUCUUCAGUUUUUUUUUUGAGGAAAAGCUAUCUAUGUUAUGGCAAUAUCUGAAUCACAAUAUUGUGUGAAUUUUUAAUCAUCUGGCUGUCAGUAUUUGUGCUUAUGGACGGUCUUGUACCGAUUAAUUUUCCGAUAUCGGUACAUAACAAAAACCUAAGCUACACUCUUGCCAUUGUGUCUUACAAGUUUCCCUCUAAAAAUUGAGGUGAACUAUCUAUGCUAUGGCAUAUAUCUUUUGAACACACAUCUCAAGCCUAUUGAUAAUUUUGUGGUUGUCAAUGUCUUUCUAGUUUUCAUGCAGUUGUUCAGGUAAUACUCAUAGUACCCUUUUGAAGAAGGGUUAUCUGAGGCAGGUUUGUGCCUGUAUGGUCAUCAAUCAAACUGGGUUCAGCAAGAAAAUAGGUAAGAAAGUCCUUUUCGAUCCGAUGAAGAAGAUGAAAUGGACACCUUUCCUAAUACAUCCUUCCCAAUUCAGGAAAGAAGAAACUAAGAAAUUUGCAUCUUUCUUAGAGUUGGAAGGAUGUUACUCUUGAUUUCAAAGGAUGUCACUAUCAAUUCUUUGGAGUUAAUCAAGUGACCAAGCAUCACACAAUCUUGUCAAUAUUUUUUCCCCCAAGAAAUUUUACACCAAAUACUUGAUAACGUUCCAAGUCUUAGAUGAGGAAAUAGUUAGAUUUGGAGUAUUGGUUUCAAAGAUUAGUUGAGGUGUGCGUGGACAGAUUUGAAUUGGAUAUAUGUGAAAACCUAUGUAUCACAUAAAUGGACUAUAUUCUAUAGUUUGCCAACAUUUCUUUAGAAUAUGGUUUAGAUUGCAAUUAUUGUUGUUAUUAUCAUUUUGUGUAAUCACUCAUCCAUAAAUGACAUAAAGAAGAAUAGUUAAUUUUCAGGGAUUACAUCACCUUGACCAUAGCA